ensembl:lncRNA
CAGCGGAUCCCGGCAGGGAUUUUGGUGCAUUGCCUGAUUCCGGGCGAGGCCCGGCGGGAGCCGACUGAGAAAGUCCGGGCUGCUGACACUCCGCCCCGCGAGCUGUUUUCCCUGACCCAUGUCAUUCUGUUGAUACCAGAACAGAUAUUAAGUACCAUAUAUGGGAAAAGUGCUAUUUUACAAUGCAGAUGGCCUGUGGGGGCGGACCUGGACUCAAGCCUCGGAUCCGUUGUGGGCGCCCUGAGUUCCAUUUUCGACCCUGUCUUUGGAGUGCGCACGCUGCAGUCUUUCAGCCUCCAGACAUCUGCUCCGGUUGUUCCAGAGCACCGGCUUUGGGUGCCCCGUUUCAAGCAUCAAACUCACACUGGUUAUCUAUUCUACAUAAGCAGAUUUACAUUUACUGUAAAGCCACGCUUGCAGAGCGGCUGUAAAUCGGAUGCAGGCGUUCUCACCUCUGACCCACAAAUAGGGCGUGGCCUCUCUCACCACUGCCGGGUGGUCCUUCCACUUGCUCCUGAACGGAAAUCCUGCGCGCUCCACCCUCUGCCAGGUGGAUGGAUUGAGUCCGCCCACUUCUGUCACAUGAACCAAUCGAGCAUGUUUAUGCAAAUUGAGAUCCAUUCCCUGCCCCCCGCCCCGCUCAAGACAACCAACGGCUGAGGAGGUGCAACAGGUCCGCCAGGUUCCUGUUCUGGCUGAGCUCAGAGAAGUCUGUAAAAUUUCUGCCAAGGGCAAAAACAAUUUGGAAACUUCGGGAACUGGAGACAUGAGGACUGGGGCAUAAAUGGAAUGCCGCAGUAAGACUGAUGGCACUGAAUCACAGAAACUGAGGCUUGAAGGAUUGCUGGAGGUCAUUUUGUCUGACUUCUGGACUGACAUUCUGCCUCACUCCGCGUGAUUCCUGUCAGGUGCUCACAGGUGCUGGUGAAGUCACUACCUGCAGACAUGACCCAGCUGACGAGAAAGAGCACGUCCCAGAUCUGGCUAUUCAGUUCAGUUCAGUUCAGUUGCUCAGUCGCUUCAGACUGCGACCCCAUGGAUUGCUGCACGCCAGGCUUCCCUGUCCAUCACCAACUCCCAGAGCUUGCUCAAACUCAUGUCCAUCGUGUCAGUGAUGCCAUUCAAUCAUCUCAUCCUCUGUCAUCCCCUUCUCCUCCUAACUUCAAUCUUUCCCAGCAUCAGGGUCUUUUCCAAUGAGUCAGCUCUUCGCAUCAGGUGACCAAAGUAUUGGAGCUUCAGCUUCAGCAUCAGUCCUUCCAAUAAAUAUUCAGGACUGAUUUCUUUCAAGAUGGACUGGUUGGAUCUCCUUGCAGUCCAAGGGACUCUCAAGAGUCUUCUCCAACACCACAGUUCAAAAGCAUCAAUUCUUUGGCAUUCAGCUUUCUUUAUAGUCCAACUCCCAUAUCCAUACAUGACUACUGAAAAAACCAUGUCUUUGACUAGACAGACCUUUGUUGACAAAGUGAUGUGUUUGCUUUUUAUGCUGUCUAGGUUGGUCAUAGCUUUUCUGCCAAGGAGCAAGCGUCUUUUAAUUUCAUGGCUG